UACGGAGGAUGCAAGCGUUAUCCGGAUUUAUUGGGCUUAAAGGGUGCGCAGGUUGUUUGAUAAGUCAGUGGUGAAAGUCUGUCGCUUAACGGUAGGAUUGCCAUUGAUACUGUUAGACUUGAAUAUGGAUGAGGUAGGCGGAAUGUGUAGUGUAGCGGUGAAAUGCAUAGAUAUUACACAGAACACCGAUUGCGAAGGCAGCUUACUAAUCCAUCAUUGACGCUGAGGCACGAAAGCGUGGGGAUCAAA
rnacentral:rRNA from 1 species